CCUUUUCCCUGCCUGUGACCUAUGGCUGUUGCUGCUGGUGAUUCUCUGACGGUGCUUUCGUGUUUGACCUCAUCAACACAGCAUCUGAGCAAAACUGGAGGUGCGGAGCAGCCAUCAUGACAGGCGCCAAAAGAACACAUACGUCUAGGAUGGAUUUCAGUAUCAUAAAGCCAGCAGCAGCAACAUCAGGCAUUGCCGACUGUACCCCGGCACAGUCUCGUGCGUGAUAGGCGGGAGAACAUUUAGCUGCCGUGAGUUCCCUUUCUGCCCCUCAUUGCCAUUGGCCUAGCACAGAGUAGAUUGGGACGCCGUUCACCUCGAUCUCCACCAUCAACACGACUACCAGGUCAACCUGAAGCGACAAUAACUCAUUCGUUCUCCCUUUGCCACACUUUCAGGUUCAACCAGCAGCCGUAGAAAGACUUUUAAAAUAUGUCUCAUCACUUACUUCCAAAGAACGGUUCAUGAAACACAUGUUUAUCCAAGCUUUUAUUUUCCUUCAACCAUCAUUUUUUGAUUGGUAAUGUGCUGCUGAUUUAGUAAUGAUAAAAAAAGAAAAUGGCUAUUGUUGACUAGUUAUGUAGCAUGUCAAGUAGCAUGCCUAACAAAUAUGCAGAAAAGGGGCUCAAUGCUCAAGCCAAGCAAUCAUGUACGUCAAAUUAUAAUGUUCAAGGUCAGUUCAGCUUUUCUCCCAAGUAUCCUUUGUUUGCAGUGUGUGCCAUCUACCCAAAUUUUAAACUACUCGGUAAAUAUUCUGUGAAGUCCAUGUACUUCGAAGUAUGAGCAGUUGCAUAUUAGAAUAUCCGUUCGUUUCUUGAUAACACAUUAGAAAUAGUACGGUAUGGAACUUGUG